UACGAAGGGGGCUAGCGUUGCUCGGAAUUACUGGGCGUAAAGGGAGCGUAGGCGGGUCGUCACGUUGGGGGUGAAAGCCCAGGGCUCAACCCUGGAACUGCCUUCAAAACUGGCGACCUAGAGUAUGGUAGAGGUGUGUGGAACUCCGAGUGUAGAGGUGAAAUUCGUAGAUAUUCGGAAGAACACCAGUGGCGAAGGCGACACACUGGGCCAUUACUGACGCUGAGGCUCGAAAGCGUGGGGAGCAAACAGG
rnacentral:rRNA from 1 species